rnacentral:misc_RNA from 1 species
GAUGAAGAACGUAGCGAAAUGCGAUAAGUAAUGUGAAUUGCAGAAUUCAGUGAAUCAUCGAAUCUUUGAACGCACAUUGCGCCCUCUGGUAUUCCGGGGGGCAUGCCUGUUCGAGCGUCAUUAUAACCACUCAAGCUCUCGCUUGGUAUUGGAGUUCGCGAUCUCGCGGCUCCUAGAAUCAGUGGCGGUGCCUGUCGGCUCUACGCGUAGUAAUACUCCUCGCGAUUGAGUCCGGUAGGUUUACUUGCCAGCAACCCCCAAUUUUUACAGGUUGACCUCGGAUCAGGUAGGGAUACCCGCUGAACUUAAGCAUAUCAAUAAGCGGAGGA